rnacentral:rRNA from 1 species
AUUGAACGCUGGCGGCAUGCCUUACACAUGCAAGUCGAACGGUAACGGGCCUUCGGGUGCCGACGAGUGGCGAACGGGUGAGUAAUACAUCGGAACGUGCCCGAUCGUGGGGGAUAACGAGGCGAAAGCUUUGCUAAUACCGCAUACGAUCUACGGAUGAAAGCAGGGGACCGCAAGGCCUUGCGCGGGCGGGGCGGCCGAUGGCCGAUUAGGUAGUUGGUGGGAUAAAAGCUUACCAAGCCGACGAUCUGUAGCUGGUCUGCGGGGAUGAUCAGCCACAGUGGGACUGAGACACGGCCCAGACUCCUACGGGAGGCAGCAGUGGGGAAGUUUGGACAAUGGGCGCAAGACUGAUCCAGCCAUGCCGCGUGCAGGAUGAAGGCCUGCGGGUUGUAAACUGCUUUUGUACGGAACGAAAAGCCUUCUUUUAAUACAGGAGGGUCAUGACGGUACCGUAAGAAUAAGCACCGGCUAACUACGUG